GAAACGCAUGCUAAUACCGCAUACGCCCUAUGGGGGAAAGCGGGGGACCUUCGGGCCUCGCGCUAUCGGAUGAGCCUGCGUAAGAUUAGCUAGUUGGUGGGGUAAAGGCCUACCAAGGCGACGAUCUUUAGCUGGUCUGAGAGGAUGAUCAGCCACACUGGGACUGAGACACGGCCCAGACUCCUACGGGAGGCAGCAGUGGGGAAUAUUGCGCAAUGGGCGAAAGCCUGACGCAGCCAUGCCGCGUGUGUGAAGAAGGCCCUAGGGUUGUAAAGCACUUUCAAUUGGGAAGAAAAGCUUGUCGUUAAUAUCGUCAAGCCCUGACAUUACCUUUAGAAGAAGCACCGGCUAACUCCGUGCCAGCAGCCGCGGUAAUACGGAGGGUGCGAGCGUUAAUCGGAAUUACUGGGCGUAAAGCGCGCGUAGGCGGUUAGUUAAGUCAGCUGUGAAAGCCCUGGGCUCAACCUGGGAACUGCAGUUGAUACUGGCCAACUAGAGUGCAAGAGAGGGAGGUAGAAUUCCACGUGUAGCGGUGAAAUGCGUA
rnacentral:rRNA from 1 species